UGUACCCGGUUGAAAUUGAGCGUAUCAAUAAGCGGAGGAAAAGAAACCAACAGGGAUUACCUCAGUAACGGCGAGUGAAGCGGUAACAGCUCAAAUUUGAAAUCUGGCCUCACGGUCCGAAUUGUAAUUUGUAGAGGAUGUUUCGAGCAUGGUCUGGCCUAAGUUCCUUGGAACAGGACGUCAUAGAGGGUGAGAAUCCCGUAUGCGGUCAGGUGCCUACGCUCAUGUGAAACUCCUUCGACGAGUCGAGUUGUUUGGGAAUGCAGCUCAAAAUGGGUGGUAAAUUUCAUCUAAAGCUAAAUAUUGGCCAGAGACCGAUAGCGCACAAGUAGAGUGAUCGAAAGAUGAAAAGCACUUUGGAAAGAGAGUUAAACAGUACGUGAAAUUGUUGAAAGGGAAGCGCUUGCAACCAGACUUGCACGCAGCUAAUCAUCCGGUGUUCUCACCGGUGCACUUGGUUGCGUUCAGGCCAGCAUCGGUUUCGGCGGUGGGAUAAAGGCCUUAGGAAUGUAGCUGCUCUCGGGCAGUGUUAUAGCCUAGGGUGCAAUGCCGCCUGCUGGGACCGAGGACCGCGCUUCGGCUAGGAUGCUGGCGUAAUGGUUGUAAGCGGCCC
rnacentral:rRNA from 1 species